UGCUACCAGAACUGGAAUAAUGACCAGAGGGAGACGAGGCGUUUGUUACCAAUGAGCAAAGCUGUAAGACAAUAACAGCAGGUUAGCUAUCAACACAUAUGUGUGUUAGCGCAAGCGAAAUUAUUAUCACCUCCGAGUGGCUCCAGCUAACUCAGUCUGCAGUGUUGAGGAGUUUGCUACAUUCCCGGAACCAAUGCCCAUUUUAGCAAGUUCACUUCGUAAUUUAUCACGAUAACUCUGCUCCUUUUCUAACAUCAGCUGGAAUGUAUGAACACGUUGUGUCUCCAACUGACGUUUUUUCUCGUGCUAAAAUAUUUUUAUCUCUUUUUUUAAAAUAUCUAUUAAUAUCGUAAUUUUAUUUAAUAUUUAUCAGUUGGAGACGAAAUCAGUAAAUGACGGUGCUUUGACCAUUAAAAACGGAAAAGAAUGCUUAGGGAUAACAGAUAAAGCAGAAUAAUCAAGAACAUGAUUAACAGCAGAAGCAAGGGUACACAUAGUUGGGGUCCAGUUAUACGUGCAGUGCAAGGAGCACCACCAGCUGGUGCAGUUGAUGCUCGAUGCAAAGAAGUAGCGGAUUGUGAAGGUGAUACCAUUGUUGAUGCUGAUGAUAAACUCGUUGGUCUCGGCUGCUGAUGU